UACGGAGGGUGCAAGCGUUAUCCGGAUUUACUGGGUUUAAAGGGUGCGUAGGCGGCCUGCUAAGUCAGGGGUGAAAUCCCGAGGCUCAACCUCGGAACUGCCUUUGAUACUAUCAGGCUUGAAUUAUGUUGAGGUUGGCGGAAUACAACAUGUAGCGGUGAAAUGCAUAGAUAUGUUGUAGAACACCGAUUGCGAAGGCAGCUGACUAAACAUAUAUUGACGCUGAGGCACGAAAGCGUGGGGAUCAAACAGG
rnacentral:rRNA from 1 species